rnacentral:rRNA from 1 species
UACGGAGGGGGCUAGCGUUGUUCGGAAUUAUUGGGCGUAAAGCGCGCGUAGGCGGUUACUUAAGUCGGAUGUGAAAGCCCUCGGCUUAACUGAGGAAGUGCACCCGAAACUGAGUAGCUAGAGUACGAAAGAGGGUCGCGGAAUUCCCGGUGUAGAGGUGAAAUUCGUAGAUAUCGGGAGGUACACCGGUGGCGAAGGCGGCGACCUGGGUCGAGACUGACGCUGAGGCGCGAAAGCGUGGGGAGCAAACAGG